rnacentral:misc_RNA from 1 species
UUCGCUCAUUUUGGCGAUUCAGAUCACAUACCCAAGUGAAUUGGGAUGCACGAAUCAAACUGCAGAACUCAGGUGUUGUAGUGAAUCUGGUAACUAUGGGUUGUGUUUGUGGCCGUGGGCGUGGCUCUGUGCAUGACUGUGAGUUGUGAUUGUGUUUGUGGCAAUGGGCUUGUGAGUUGACCAUGUUUGCGAGUUUUCUGCUUUCUUCAAUACGUUGUUUGAUUGGAAAUCUGGUUGGGGAUUAUUUGAGUUUGAGAUUUGGAUUUCUUUUUUGUUUCUGUUAAAGAAAUGCAUUUCCUACAAGGAAACAAGUGUCUGACUUUUGAAUUUUCCAGACACGGCCCUGAACGUGUCAUGGUCCUGUCCCACCGUUUCUAUCUUGGAAAUGUUUCCAGAACAGGGAGACGCCAGUGAUUGGCAUUUCUAUGCUUCACAGAUGUGGAUCACUAAAUGAACUACAGCAGAUAAUAUUGAUAUUUCACACGUGAGGAUGAAGUUAGUGCAACUUUCCUAAACUUGGAGAAUAUACAGCAAGCACAGUUAAACAGGUUCAAAUGAUGACUCACCUUGAGCAGCUUCUUUAUAGAAGAGAAGUGAUUCUCUAGCUGUUCCACGCCUCAAAUAUGCCUUUACAUUCUUUUUAUCAAGUGAUAUUGCCUUGCUGCAGUCUUCUUCAGCUUGCUGAAAGCUGCACAUAUUGAAAUCAAAUGGUAAGGAAACAAUCAAGCACAGAUAAACAUAGUGAAAAUACAUGUUAAAAACCAGUUAAAAUAUCAAACCAUCCUAAUUCUAAGUAAGCUGCUGCCCGGUUGCAAUAGUAAGUUGCGUUUGUUCCAUUCAAUUUAAUAGCUUCAGUGUAGUAAUUAGCAGCCUUAUUCCACUGCUUUCCCUUAAAUGCAGCAUUCCCCUUUUCUUUCAGAAGUUCAGAGGCAUCCAUAUUUCCAUUGGUAUAUGGAAGUGGUGCAGAAUUAGAAACAAUGUCAACUUGCUCUUGAAGAGAUGUGUACAUGUCCAAAACAGUAUCAAGAAGAAACUUAUCAGCUCCAUGGUACGAGAUAAAUGAAACAGAGAUGGGGCAACCAUCAUGCUUUCCCAAGGGAAUGGUAACCUGACAACACCCAGACAUGCCUGCAAUGCCUGAUAGUAUAAAUGCUCUAUCACGAGACUCUGUGGAAUAACCUUUCUUUGCAUUAAGCUUAAAGGGAGGAUCUGCAACUGUGGGAAUAACUAAUAUCCCAUCAUCCUUUAAGAGACUUUGUAGGCAAGCUCGCAUCUCAGACCUGAUUUUGUACAAUGUCUUUAUGUUUUCAUAUUUAGUAUUAAUAGCUACAAGAACAUGAUUAGAGACAUCAGGUGCUAACUUCGGUUUCACUGAUUUAAUCCAUUCUUCAUGAUUUGUUUUGAAUUCAUAUCUUUGUAAUGAAACCAUCACAGAGGAGAGAGCUUUCAAAGCAGAUGUUCCAUUUUGCAGGUUUGUAGAUUCUUCGUAGAAUCCUUUAAGACUUGGUACAUUGGAAGCAAUAUACUGACCCAAGUUCAUAUGCUUUGGAAGCUGGUACCCAGAUAGAUUUCCAAUUGCUUUGCUAAUAACAUAUUCAGUCUUCUGCUUGGGAACCUUAGACAACUGAAAAAGAUCAUCAGCAAACAUGAGGCGCCUUGCUCUUCUAGGUUCCACAGCAUUUAGUUGCAGUAAAGCAUGUCCAACACGAUGCAAUACAGAAGGAUCACGUGCAAAACAUCCAAUAGUGUCCAAACUUUGUGAAUUUGGAAUAGCACCAAUCAUAGAUACAGUCCCAUGGGAUGGUCGAUAGCCAAAGAUACCACAAAAUGCUGCUGGAAUUCUAAUGCAACCAAUUGUAUCAGUACCCAGAGCAAAAUCCACAAGCUCAGCCGCAACAGCCACAGCUGAUCCACUAGAAGAACCUCCAGGGACAAAUAAUGACAUUUGGGGAUUGAUAGGAGUUCCAUAAUGCAUAUUCUCACCAGUUAUCCCCAUUGCUAAUUCAUCCAUAACAGUCUUGCCAACACAAGUAGCUCCAUUCUUCAACAAAGCAGUCACUACCACUGCCAUCUUCUCAGCAACAUCAUGCGUUCUCCUCCAAUCAGGAUUCCCAAAUCCCGUCACAUAAUCCUUCAAAUCAAAUAUGUCCUCGAUGGCAAAUGUGAGGCCAUAUAGAGACUGCUUGGCGGCGGGAGGAGGAGGCUGAGGGAAAGGAAGAAUCUCGAAUCUUUCAACGAAUGCUCCAAAGUCCUCCCGGUUCAUCAACACCGCCUUCCGCCUCCGCCGCCGGGUCUCCGCCAGCACCGCGAUCCCGGCUACAGUCACACCGAUCACCACCCAUAACUUGGGGUUGGAGGCAUGUGCUUUGAUCAGACCCAGCGGCUUGGUCAUAGUAAUGAUAAAUUAAAGAGGAAAUGAUCCAAAGAGAGAAUGAGAAAAGGGUUUUGGAAGGGUUUUAGAAGCAGAGCAGGGGAUUUU